UACGUAGGGAGCAAGCGUUGUCCGGAAUCAUUGGGCGUAAAGCGCGCGUAGGUGGCGACAUAAGUCCGUUGUGAAAGUCAAAGGCUCAACCUUUGAAAGCCGAUGGAUACUGUGUGGCUAGAGUACGGAAGAGGCGAGUGGAAUUCCUGGUGUAGCGGUGGAAUGCGCAGAUAUCAGGAGGAACACCAAUAGCGAAGGCAGCUCGCUGGGACGUUACUGACACUGAGGCGCGAAAGCGUGGGGAGCGAACAGG
rnacentral:rRNA from 1 species